GGGUGUCCAAUCUUUCAUGCAACUUGUUCGUUAUCACUUUGAUAGAAAUUCAAAAGUUCGAUGCCCAUGUCAAGGUUGUUUGAAUGUUUUUGUUCAAACACAAGAAGUAGUGUAUGACCAGCUAUUGAUCAAAGGAAUUAUGGGAAGUUACGUGCAAUGGAUUUACCACGGGGAACAAUCACAAAUGAGAGAUAACAAUAAAUCAAUUUUUUCUGAAGAUGAAAAUGAAGUUCAUGAUAACCAUGAUGGAAUUCACACUAUGUUAGAAGAGACCAGUGGUAGAUCAUUUGUCGAGUUUUCAUAGGAGACGACGGGUAAUAAUGUUUGCGGUAAUAUGAGUGAUAAAGAAGCUAAGAAGUUUGACAAAUUGCUGGAAGAAACAGGACGUGAAUUAU
rnacentral:misc_RNA from 1 species